rnacentral:rRNA from 1 species
AAGGGGCAGUAAAGUAUGGGUAACCUACCCCGGGGACUGGGAUAGCCUUCCUAACGGAUGGGUAAUACCAGGCGAUCUGGCGAGAGCGCAUGUUCUUGCCAGGAAAUGAAUUUCGCCUCGGGAGGGGCUCAUAUAGUAUUAGCUUGUUGGUGGGGUAACGGCCUACCAAGGCAAAGAUGCUUAGCGGGUGUGAGAGCACGACCCGCGCCACUGGCACUGAGACACUGGCCAGACUCCUACGGGAGGCUGCAGUCGAGGAUCUUCGGCAAUGGGCGCAAGCCUGACCGAGCGACGCCGCGUGUGCGAUGAAGGCCUUCGGGUUGUAAAGCACUGUCGAGGGGGAGGAAAGCCGCAAGGUCUGACCUAUCCCUGGAGGAAGCACGGGCUAAGUUCGUGCCAGCAGCCGCGG